rnacentral:rRNA from 1 species
GAAUAUUGCGCAAUGGGCGAAAGCCUGACGCAGCCACGCCGCGUGAGUGAUGAAGGCCUUCGGGUUGUAAAGCUCUGUCGGGAGGGACGAAGGGGCAACCCUGACGGUACCUCGCAAGAAAGCACCGGCUAACUCUGUGCCAGCCGCCGCGGUAACACAGAGGGUGCAAGCGUUGCUCGGAUUUACUGGGCGUAAAGCGUACGCAGACGGUGAGAAAGGUCGGAUGUGAAAGCCCCGGGCUCAACCCGGGAACUGCAUCCGAAACCAUCUCGCUCGAGUGUGGGAGAGGGAAGCGGAAUUCCUGGUGUAGAGGUGAAAUUCGUAGAUAUCAGGAGGAACACCGGCGGCGAAGGCGGCUUCCUGGCCCAUUACUGACGUUCAGGUACGAAAGCGUGGGUAGCAAACAGG